CGGAUCUGUUCAGUUAAUCUGAUGACAUAUAGAAAAUAAAAAACUAUCUUCUCUCUAAAGGAGAUACCUAUCUUGUAUUUAAAUAAUUAUUAUCCAUGUCUAGAAGGCAGUACCGCUGAAUCUAUUCAAUCGUCUUCGUUGUCCUAAAAAGAUUCUUAUGCGUGAUGCAAAAUAUAAACGCACGUCAUAAUAAAGCUCCCAUAAUGAACUUUUCUCCCGCAAAAUAAUAUUUUUUUAAGCUGGAUGAUCGAGGAGGAAAGCUAUUGAAAAUCAUGCGAUUUAAAGCAAAUGUACCUGCGUGAUUUUAUGCUCCACGGAAAGUAAUAUUUUACCAUGUUAUAAAAUCUCAAGGCAACUAGUAUUUUCACGAGGAACGUUUGAUCCGCUUUGUCGUUUUGCGGAGAAGUUUUUUUUAUAUCGUUAUACUAACUAUG